rnacentral:SRP_RNA from 1 species
GCAGGUGCACCCCUGUUGUCCCAGCUACUUGGGAGGCUGAGGCGGGGAGGACACUUGAGUCCGGGAGUUGUGGCCUGUAGUAUGCUAUGGUGAUUGGGUGUCUGUACUAAGUUUGGCACCGAUAUAGUGAUAUCCUAGGAGUGGAGAUCGCAUGCUUCUUAAGGAGGGGUAAGCCAGCCCAGGGCAGAAACAGCAGGUGAAAACUCCUGUGCUGAUCAGUUGUGUGGGCUCAUGCCUGUGAAUAACCCACUGCACCCUGCCACUUAAAAAAAAAAGAAUGUCAUUUAUCUUCU